AGUGAACGCUGGCGGUAGGCCUAACACAUGCAAGUCGAACGGCAGCACAGUAAGAGCUUGCUCUUACGGGUGGCGAGUGGCGGACAGGUGAGGAAUACAUCGGAAUCUACUUUUUCGUGGGGGAUAACGUAGGGAAACUUACGCUAAUACCGCAUACGACCUACGGGUGAAAGCAGGGGAUCUUCGGACCUUGCGCGAUUGAAUGAGCCGAUGUCGGAUUAGCUAGUUGGCGGGGUAAAGGCCCACCAAGGCGACGAUCCGUAGCUGGUCUGAGAGGAUGAUCAGCCACACUGGAACUGAGACACGGUCCAGACUCCUACGGGAGGCAGCAGUGGGGAAUAUUGGACAAUGGGCGCAAGCCUGAUCCAGCCAUACCGCGUGGGUGAAGAAGGCCUUCGGGUUGUAAAGCCCUUUUGUUGGGAAAGAAAAGCAGCAGGUUAAUACCCCGCUGUUCUGACGGUACCCUAAGAAUAAGCACCGGCUAACUUCGUG
rnacentral:rRNA from 1 species